rnacentral:rRNA from 1 species
UCGCUAGUAAUCGCGAAUCAGAAUGUCGCGGUGAAUACGUUCCCGGGUCUUGUACACACCGCCCGUCACACCAUGGGAGGUCGGGAAUGCCCGAAGUCAGUGACCCAACCUUUGGAGGGAGCUGCCGAAGGCAGGUCUGAUAACUGGGGUGAAGUCGUAACAAGGUACC